UUUUAUGGAGAGUUUGAUCCUGGCUCAGAGUGAACGCUGGCGGCGUGCCUAAUACAUGCAAGUCGAACGAUGAAGCUUCUAGCUUGCUAGAAGUGGAUUAGUGGCGCACGGGUGAGUAAGGUAUAGUUAAUCUGCCCUACACAAGAGGACAACAGUUGGAAACGACUGCUAAUACUCUAUACUCCUGCUUAACACAAGUUGAGUAGGGAAAGUUUUUCGGUGUAGGAUGAGACUAUAUAGUAUCAGCUAGUUGGUAAGGUAAUGGCUUACCAAGGCUAUGACGCUUAACUGGUCUGAGAGGAUGAUCAGUCACACUGGAACUGAGACACGGUCCAGACUCCUACGGGAGGCAGCAGUAGGGAAUAUUGCGCAAUGGGGGAAACCCUGACGCAGCAACGCCGCGUGGAGGAUGACACUUUUCGGAGCGUAAACUCCUUUUCUUAGGGAAGAAUUCUGACGGUACCUAAGGAA
rnacentral:rRNA from 2 species